GCACAGAGGGAAGCCAGGUGGCGACACCGCGCGGAACCCGAAAGCCGUUCUCAGUUCGGAUCGGAGUCUGCAACCCGACUCCGUGAAGCUGGAUUCGCUAGUAAUCGCGCAUCAGCCAUGGCGCGGUGAAUACGUUCCCGGGCCUUGUACACACCGCCCGUCAAGCCAUGGGAGCCGGGGGUGCUUGAAGUGCGUCGCCGCAAGGCGCGCCCUAGAGCAAAACCGGUGACUGGGGCUAAGUCGUAACAAGGUAGC
rnacentral:rRNA from 1 species